rnacentral:rRNA from 1 species
UACGAAGGGGGCUAGCGUUGCUCGGAAUCACUGGGCGUAAAGGGUGCGUAGGCGGGUUCUUAAGUCAGAGGUGAAAUCCUGGAGCUCAACUCCAGAACUGCCUUUGAUACUGAGAGUCUUGAGUUCGGGAGAGGUGAGUGGAACUGCGAGUGUAGAGGUGAAAUUCGUAGAUAUCCGGAGGAACACCGGUGGCGAAGGCGGCUUCCUGGACCGACACUGACGCUGAGGCGCGAAAGCUAGGGGAGCAAACGGG